AUUGAACGCUGGCGGCAUGCCUUACACAUGCAAGUCGAACGGUAACAGCACUUCGGUGGCUGACGAGUGGCGAACGGGUGAGUAAUACAUCGGAACGUGCCCGAGAGUGGGGGAUAACGCAGCGAAAGCUGUGCUAAUACCGCAUACGAUCUACGGAUGAAAGCAGGGGACCGCAAGGCCUUGCGCUCAUGGAGCGGCCGAUGGCAGAUUAGGUAGUUGGUGGGAUAAAAGCUUACCAAGCCGACGAUCUGUAGCUGGUCUGAGAGGACGACCAGCCACACUGGGACUGAGACACGGCCCAGACUCCUACGGGAGGCAGCAGUGGGGAAUUUUGGACAAUGGGCGAAAGCCUGAUCCAGCCAUGCCGCGUGCAGGAUGAAGGCCUUCGGGUUGUAAACUGCUUUUGUACGGAACGAAAAGGUCUUUUCUAAUAAAGAAGGCUCAUGACGGUACCGUAAGAAUAAGCACCGGCUAACUACGUGCCAGCAGCCGCGGUAAUACGUAGGGUGCAAGCGUUAAUCGGAAUUACUGGGCGUAAAGCGUGCGCAGGCGGUUAUAUAAGACAGAUGUGAAAUCCCCGGGCUCAACCUGGGAACUGCAUUAGUGACUGUAUAGCUAGAGUGCGGCAGAGGGGGAUGGAAUUCCGCGUGUAGCAGUGAAAUGCGUAGAUAUGCGGAGGAACACCGAUGGCGAAGGCAAUCCCCUGGGCCUGCACUGACGCUCAUGCACGAAAGCGUGGGGAGCAAACAGGGUUAGAUACCCUGGUAGUCCACGCCCUAAACGAUGUCAACUGGUUGUUGGGAAUUUACUUUCUCAGUAACGAAGCUAACGCGUGAAGUUGACCGCCUGGGGAGUACGGCCGCAAGGUUAAAACUCAAAGGAAUUGACGGGGACCCGCACAAGCGGUGGAUGAUGUGGUUUAAUUCGAUGCAACGCGAAAAACCUUACCCACCUUUGACAUGUAUGGAAGAUCGCAGAGACGCGAUUGUGCUCGAAAGAGAGCCAUAACACAGGUGCUGCAUGGCUGUCGUCAGCUCGUGUCGU
rnacentral:rRNA from 1 species